GCCAACGUAGCUCAGUUGGUAGAGCAACUCCAUGGUAAGGAGUAGGUCGCCGGUUCAAAUCCGGCCGUUGGCUCAA
rnacentral:tRNA from 3 species